CCCCCCCACAAACAAUGAGGCAGUCACUGCACAUUUGGCCGAGACUCUAGCUGCAAGUCCGGAUUUGCAGUGUGGAAAAUGACGCCAUUGUCUCUGCCUGUACUAAGACGUACUAUGAGCCAGUAUGAAUGAACUUCCUGUACAUCCAACCAGACCUUGCAGCUCUUGCAGCAGCAUUGAGAAGUUCAGGAGUCGACAGAGAAGAAAGAGGCUGAUUGAAGCGGGACAGAUGACAUGGAUCCAUCCUUCCACAGCCAGGAGCUCACCG